rnacentral:rRNA from 1 species
UACGUAGGUGGCAAGCGUUGUCCGGAUUUACUGGGCGUAAAGAGCGCGCAGGCGGUCGUUCAAGUCGCGUGUGAAAGCCCCCGGCUCAACUGGGGAGGGUCACGCGAUACUGAUCGACUCGAAGGCAGGAGAGGGUAGUGGAAUUCCCGGUGUAGUGGUGAAAUGCGUAGAUAUCGGGAGGAACACCAGUGGCGAAGGCGGGUCUCUGGGCCGAAAUUGACGCUGAGGAGCGAAAGCGUGGGGAGCGAACAGG